rnacentral:rRNA from 1 species
UAGUUGGUAAGGUAACGGCUUACCAAGACUAUGAUGUGUAGCUGGACUGAGAGGUUGAACGGCCACAUUGGGAUUGAGAUACGGCCCAAACUCCUACGGGAGGCAGCAGUAAGGAAUUUUCGGCAAUGGAGGAAACUCUGACCGAGCAACGCCGCGUGAACGAUGAAAUAUUUAGGUAUGUAAAGUUCUUUUAUUAAAGAAGAAAAAAUGAUGGAAAAAUCAUUCUGACGGUAUUUAAUGAAUAAGCCCCGGCUAACUAUGUGCCAGCAGCUGCGGUAAUACAUGGGGGGCAAGCGUUAUCCGGAUUUAUUGGGCGUAAAGGGUGUGUAGGCGGUUUAAUAAGUCUAUGGUAUAAGUUCAACGCUUAACGUUGUGAUGCUAUGGAAACUGUUUGACUAGAGUUGGAUAGAGGCAAGUGGAAUUCCAUGUGUAGCGGUAAAAUGCGUAAAUAUAUGGAGGAACACCAGUAGCGAAGGCGGCUUGCUGGGUCUUAACUGACGCUGAGGCACGAAAGCGUGGGGAGCAAACAGGAUUAGAUACCCUGGUAGUCCACGCCGUAAACGAUGAGUACUAAGUGUUGGGUUAAACCAGUGCUGAAGUUAACACAUUAAGUACUCCGCCUGAGUAGUACGUACGCAAGUAUGAAACUUAAAGGAAUUGACGGGACUCCGCACAAGCGGUGGAUCAUGUUGUUUAAUUCGAAGAUACACGAAAAACCUUACCAGGUCUUGACAUACUCUGCAAAGCUAUAGAAAUAUAGUGGAGGUUAUCAGGGAUACAGGUGGUGCAUGGUUGUCGUCAGCUCGUGUCGUGAGAUGUUGGGUUAAGUCCCGCAACGAGCGCAACCCUUAUCGCUAGUUACCAUCAUUUAGUUGGGCACUUUAGUGAGACUGCCAAUGAUAAAUUGGAGGAAGGUGGGGAUUACGUCAAAUCAUCAUGCCCCUUAUGACCUGGGCUACAAACGUGAUACAAUGGCUGUUACAAAGAGUAGCUGAAGCGUGAGUUUUUAGCAAAUCUCAAAAAAACAGUCUCAGUUCGGAUUGRAGUCUGCAACUCGACUUCUGAGUCGGAUCGCUAGUAUCGSRAUC